AUAAGCAGUACCAGCAGCAGCUUCAGUGUACAUACACAGUUGCAAAGUACGUACUACUCUGCUGCUGAUCAUCAGAGCGGAGCGGAGAAGUGAAGGAGCUAAGGAUACAUGAAUAAAGAAAACAGAAACAACUGGUGAGGAAAUUGUUUUUACACAAUCCACUAAAAUUAAGAUUGCUCGCUCCAGCUCUAGCUCCUUGGAGAUGCUAAUUAUUCGUAGAGAUGCAUGCACAUUGUUGGGUAUAUAUAUGGUUUCCAAACAACAGGGUACUUCAUUCCCUAUAGCACACGCUUUAUGACCAUAGUUCGAUACUAACUGUAUUUAUUUGGAACCUAUGAACAAUUUCACCAUGCGUUGAAAAUGGAAUGUAGGUCACAAAAUCCGAAGGGAUAAACCGAGCAUGCAAGCCACACCCUUGUGCUCGAUUGCCGCCACGGUCGCGCCCUAUCCAGAUACCAGGCACGGGACGAGGCCGCCGUGUCUCGUGUGCGACCCCACAGCAAAAGUGUGCCUCCACACACCUACUUUAUUCCUCUGCUGACUCUGACAAAGCUGGUGAUUCUAGCCCUGCAGGGCACCAAAUUGUUGUAGAGCUGAUUUUAGGAUAUCUGGGGCAUAACCGUCGACGGAAGCAAUUCCUGGCUUGUCAAACGAUACGACAUCCUCUAGCGAAUAGUUUCUGGCGGCAUGAAGCUGGUUUGGCGCGGAAUUAAAUGAGCCUUUGAGUAUGAUGGUCUUCUGCACGCCUCCGAGUAGCCCUUCAUAAUCUGUAUCGCCGCUUUCACCAACAACCACCGUCAUGUUCGACAGCUCUACGCCCCACCUUAUAUACAAGUACCU
rnacentral:lncRNA from 1 species